rnacentral:rRNA from 1 species
CUACGGGUUGCUGCAGUGGGGAAUAUUGCACAAUGGGCGCAAGCCUGAUGCAGCCAUGCCGCGUGUGUGAAGAAGGCCUUCGGGUUGUAAAGCACUUUCAGUUGUGAGGAAAGGAUAGUAGUUAAUACCUGCUAUCUGUGACGUUAACAACAGAAGAAGCACCGGCUAACUCCGUGCCAGCAGCCGCGGUGAUACGGAGGGUGCAAGCGUUAAUCGGAAUUACUGGGCGUAAAGCGCACGUAGGUGGAUAGAUAAGCUGGGUGUGAAAAACCGGGGCUCAACCCCGGCCGUGCAUUCAGAACUGUCUGUCUAGAGUAAGGGAGAGGGGGGUAGAAUUCCAGGUGUAGCGGUGAAAUGCGUAGAGAUCUGGAGGAAUACCGGUGGCGAAGGCGGCCCCCUGGCCCAUUACUGACACUGAGGUGCGAAAGCGUGGGUAGCGAACAGGAUUAGAUACCCCGGUAGUC